CUUCCCGACCCAAUUCGAUAUCCCCUCCACCAUCCCUUAACACCCAGCCCCAUCGAAAAACCUAGCCCUCACCUUCUUCAAUUAACCAAGCCGCACCAUCACCACCACCACUGUCACUUGCAAAGCACCUACAAUGAAUGCCGGGGUUGACAUUGGGAUGAGAUUGGUGACCGGGUUCGCCAAAGGAGGGCGCGGAGCCUAACUGCUACUCUCUCCCCCAAAAUUCGAAGAGCCUGAAACUCCAGAUUUGUUGUCUUCAUUGCCAGUGCCAUGACACCAUCUUCAUCAAGGCCAUGUUACAAUCUUUGUUAAGGCCACGCCACCGUCUUCGUCAAGACUACACCACCGCAACCUACAAACGCAACUUGCAGCUAAUGCGACGUGACUCGUCGCCUUCGUCGUCAUUCGACUCGAAUAACGAGAAAUCGUAGUGGCCCAAAUCUAUGUAGCCAAGAUUUUCAGAAUUUCUGGGAGGGAGAUGGGUGUAUGGAGGUUGAUCUAAGAUAUGAUUAUUUUUUGCUUAGAUGCUUUUAAGCUUUGUUUGGGUGCUGAGAAAAUUUCUGAACUUCCGGAAAGUUUUGAUUUUUUAUUUCCUCUAUUGUAACAUACUCUUUCAUGGGUCCCAUCAAUAGCCACGUUGGAUGCCAAUUUCAUAUCAAUUGUUGUCAUUUGUAUGAAAUUACUUGAGUACCCUUGCCACAUCAGCUGAGUUAACGAUUUUUCGUUGAAAAUUCACAGCAUAGGGCAACCUUAGUAACGAAAUGGAAGUUUAGG
rnacentral:lncRNA from 1 species